AUUUGCUCACACCCAGCGGGGAGAGGAGGCAGCCUCCUGCCAGCACUGCCACCUGCCCAUGCAAAUCAGCCCCAGGAGAGCAGCUGGGCCCCUCCCGCUCCUGCCUCCCAGCGAUGCUCCUGGGGAGGCCUUGGGGAAGAUGCCACCUCGGGCGCUGCGCCUUCCUCCUCGGCGUGGCCCUUCUGUUCGACGCCGUGGGCCUGGUCCUUUUGCUCCUGGGCAUCCUCGCCCCUCUCGACUACUGGGACUUCUUGGUCUAUACGGGGUCCCUGAUCCUGGCCUUCAGCCUUCUCUUCUGGGUCACCUGGUAUUCCCUCAACAUCGAGGUGCCGCUUGAGAAACUGGACUUGUAGUUCGGCUGUGGGCAGAGGAGGAGGGACGCAGGCUUCCUGGGCCGGCAGAGGAGCCGGGGCACGCCGCUGCUCCUGCCCAAAACGCCCCGCCGGGGACCAGCCAGGUCCUUCUGCUGGAGAAGCAUCAAAGCAGACCGAUGCCCUGUCUUUGCAGCACUUCCCGUAGACCCAGGAGGAACCAGAGGCCAUAAGACACAGGCUCCCAAAGCCCCACUAGGAUGCCCAGGAAUGGCCACAAGCGCCAGGCGUCUUGCACGCUCCGUCAAAAGACUGGCACUCCAGAUCUGGGCCCCUGACACCACUGCUGGCACCCCAGCUGUUUGGGAGGGUCUGGGAAGCCCCGAACUUUCACGCAGUGGGGCUUUUAUGGCAACAGCUCUACUGUGGGCUUGGACACCGAACGAACGAGAAGUCCCGGCCUCCACUGUUCCUCUUGUCAAUUUUCCUCACGGAACUACUGAGGCCAAGUACAAAAGUCCAAGGGGGCCUCCUGUGAGCAGGUAUCACUCGGAAUCGCAGCCGCUUCCACCCCUCGGCUCUGGAUGGACCGUGAGCCCCGGAGCCGUGGGAGCUGCACGCAUCCGCAUCCCUCAUCCAUGUCUCGGUACCGGCCCGACGGCACGCAGCGGCGCAUUUCAACAUGCUGGCUCCAGAGGCCAAGUGCAGAGCCAUGGCUGAGCGCGGGAGGCCCCUCCUCGGUGCUGGACACUGGGCACCACCUGUGCUGCCUGCCCUGUGAUAGCCAGGCCACGUGGGGGCUCACACCGAGCUUUAAGUCACAUGAAACCCUCCGGGCAGGUUUCGGACCAGCAAGCUCGAUUCUGCCACGCUGUCCCUGUGUCACUCACCCAUUUCUUGAUCCUGAGAGCAGGACUCUAUUGCUGUCUUAAUUCAAUUGCCUCUAGUCAAAUGCAACCCAAAUACAGCAACUAGGAGGGUCCACCUUCACGGUUCAUCAGACGGGCUCAUGCCAGUCACCUGUGCUUGAGCUGCCCCUCGAAUUUAUAUUUCUCUGCCCUAAUUUUAUACUGUUUAUUUAUGUCUCACCAUAAAUGGGGAUGUGUUCCUUAGAAGCUGCCUUAGAUCUUUUAUGGUUUGACGUAGCUACCUAAAUUAAAAAGUCAAUGGGCCUUUUGUUUUAACAUGACCUAACCUCUUUCUGAGUCUUCAUGGUUUCACAGUAACUCCCAAACAGCCAGCAAGAGGGAAUUUUCUUCCCAUUCGUUCAACCUGCCUCCUUGCAAAUCCUGGAAUUCCACACUCAGCACAGCCCCUCUGGGAAGGAAACACACAGAGCCCGGUCAAUACAGACAGUACAUAGGUUAUCCUGACAGCAAGGAAUCUUCUGGAAGCUCUGUGCUCAGCCACCUGCCUGGCUUCUCAGAAGCAGGCUGGACGCGGGCACCUGAGGGGUAUCAUGAGAGAACAUUUCAGAUGAGGCAUCGAGAAGACGAACCAUUCCUUAGGAAGACCCUCGUUGGAGGUCUCUUCAGGAGACCAACACAGGUUUUCACUCUAGAAAUGGAACAGGUUUCUGCCUCUUUGGCUGGGAACCAAAUGGAAUUGUUGGCUUUUGUUUCACAGCAGCCACAUUGUUGUUCAAAAUAUGCAAAUCUUGAGAAGCCAGGAUCACGCUCAGCCCAGAGCAUCUGCUCACAUCUGCGAGGGGCGGGAGGUGCUGAGGCUGCUGGGCGGGAGCAGCCUCCGACGGCGUCACGCUCCCUCGGGGAUGGCCUCCUGGCCUACAGCUCCUCCUUCACCCUCUCCUCUGGCUGGCAGAGUUCUCUAUACAGUGCCUGGUCCAGCUUCUGAAACAUCUCCCGAAUAAGAGGGCGUGUUUCUGCAGGGCGGGCAUCGGAUGCCUCAGGAGGCUGUGUGCAGAGUAAACCUGCCAUUAAAAGUCGGCGGUGAAGUGAAUGCAACUCGAGCCUUUGCAUGAACCCCCGGAAGUAAAAGGGGGUUCACACAGGAGGGCUUCCUAGAAUUUAGCUCCGACUGUCUGGGGGUCCCGGUUAAAAGCCGAACUAAGAAGGCACACAGGCAAUGCAUGUGCAGGGUGGGGGUGUUCCCUCGGGGCGAGGCUAGGUCUGCAGCUGAGCUUCCGCCAGGACAGGACAGGACAGGACCUCAGGGGCCCCCUAUGGCACAGAACGAGGGGCCACAAGCGGCAAACUCGAGCCCAGAGAUGGCAAGAGCGGCCCUCCACAGACUGCGCAGAUCACCUGGGGAUCUCAUUAAAUGCAGAUUCUGAUUCGGUCGUCCAGGGAGGGGCCAGGGACUGUGCAUUUCUAACAAGCACCCAGGGGACACCACUGCUGCAUUAAAAAUAGUGUCUUUAAGACACUUUGCAGAGUGAGGAUCUGGAAGAACUCUGUUGUUUUAGAGAAGGGGACCCUGACGCCUACAGGUUCAAGCAGCUAAAGAGCAGCAGAGCCAGGACCACGGCCCAGAGCUCCAGGCUGUGGGUCCAGCCUUCCGUCCCCACGUGAGCUGUUGACGAGUUCUCCUGAGCCUCGGGCAGAGCGAGCAGGGCCGCGGCCAGGGCAGGUGAGGCACGCUCACACUCAGGUGAGUCAUGAACCGACGUGCCUCCCUCUUCAGCCUGGCUGUGCCACAUGCCGGGGAGUGCAGUCCUGAGCAGCUUCCACGCUGCUCUGUGUCACCACAGACGCCAGAGCCAAGCAGGAUGGAGAUGGAGGAGGAAACAGGAGUGGCUGCGUUUCCACCAGGCAGGGUCCCCCAGAGCCCCGCCAGGUCUGAUCUGGGUUCGUCCUCCCAGAAAGUUCUCCCAACAGGCGGGGCAGGGGGAGCCUCCUACCACUCUCCACGGCCAGCUCCUCGGCCCCUCCUGCCACCUGCUGCCUUGAGAGCCAGCUGCUCUUUCUCAGUGACCUGACUCGGUUGACUCCCAUUCACAAGCUGAGUGACCCUCGCCUACGGGGGAGAGUAACGGUGACAUCACAGUCACAAGGAUCAAAUGCGAUGCAGCACAGGCUCCCUGAGACGCACAGCCUCCCGAACACACAGCUUACAGCGUCUUGUCAAAACAUGGAGCUGCUAAGCUUGGGUCCUCUCCCCAGAUGCCCAGCGACUCCAGGACCUCAGGACCUGUCGCCCAUAAAGCUAGUUGCAAGUCUGCUGCUCAUAAUCACGUCCAUGCGUCACAAGACCUCGUCCACUGCUUCCCCCAGAGAGAACCCGCAGGACCUGCAAAGCCGGGACAGAUGGGAAUCUAGGGGCAAGGGUGGGUCCAGCCCCACUGUGCAGCUCCCCCCGCCCUGUCCACAGCCCCAAAGCCCCUCCGAUGCAACGUAUUUCUCGGUGAAAUUACAGGGUAGUAGAGGAGGCAGAUCAGAAGUGGAGUCCACCAGGGUUGAGGCCAGCUCCGAAAUGAAGGACCAAAGAGCCUUCUGGGUAAAGACUAAUCCUAAGAGAAAAGAGAGUCAGGCAGACAAGCGUGGCCGCCAAACAAACCCUCAACACAGGUAUGCUCCGCUUCCGCCACCUCACAACAACCUGUUUGUUCUCAGGGAAGAAGGACCAUAAGAAGGAUUAGGCAAGUUUUGGGGAAAACCUGUAUGAGAUAUGGGGGUCCACAUGUUAUCAUUUGGAUGCACCCAGCAAGCUCCUGGUUGACCCAAGGAUGUCUGGCAAAAAAGUGACCUGGGAGGCACUAAGAGCUGACUGGACCUGGGCAUGAGCUGAACGGGCUGUCAGGACUCCCAAAUGUGUCUCGGCGGGGCAGGCACACAAGGCAGAGAGCGACCGGGACAGCAGCAAAUCACUCCUUGCCAGGUUACUCCUUGCCCGGUUAUCUGGGAGAAAUGUCCAGACCUGGAGAAACUGCAAAGCAGCCUAGGGGUGGCAGGGGUCCCCAGGUGAGAAGGGAGUGGCCAAGGACUAAAGGUGGCAGGCCCCGGGGCAGCUGCACCUGCCGUAGCCGCAGCCACAGCCCCCUCCCUCCCUUCUCCUCUCACCACACACUCACUUGGGCCUCCUCCCCUCCGGUCCCAAAGGGGGCCCCACUGGGAGGGAGAUCCUUCAGCACUCUGAAGAUGGGAACUCUCAGGAAAGGGAGGGGAAGGGGAGGUACGGGUUCCCACAGGUGCCCCCCCCCCCGCAUUUCUGCAAGGGCCUCACCAUGCCGGGCUGGUGCCCCCAAACUCCCCAAGUCAGCAUGCAAAGAGAGGAUCUGCAUCCAGACCCUGCAUUUUACAGGGCAACAGCCUAGACGCUGCUUCCGCAUCCGGGCACCUGCUGGGCAAGGCUCUAGGACCGUGUUCUUCCUUCCUGCCUCUGCUUCUCCCCUGAGCCCAGGGCUUCCACAUCAGCCCCCGGCCUGGACUAAGCAGCCUUCUUCCUCUUCGCCAGCUUCACUUCCCAGCCUCGGGCCCCACCCCCCUGGGGAGGGGGAGGCCCUCUGGAUUCUGCUCACGUAGGGUUGGGUGCUGCCAGCACACAGCCUCCGCUGGCAUGUGCCCUCCCCUGACCCCAUCUUUCUGACUGGCCCUCCUCACCCCCCUCCAUCUGGGGCUCUGGGGCCAGAGCUUCUGGAGCCCACAUCCACCUCCCUGACCACAGACAGCCUCCAGCUUCUGACCAGAACCGGAAGCAGGGACUCUCAAGGUACAUCCAGGACCACAGGUCAGCUCAGGUGGAACUUUCCAGAAGGGGACCACCUCACCCCAGUGUGCCCGCCUGGGUACUGGAGUCCCACCUCAGACUGGAAAUGAGGGGGGCAGGGCCCCGCCGUCCUGCUCAUCGAGCCCUGGGGGGUUUCUGAAGAGUUUCUACCAGAAGAAGCUUUGAAGCUGAACUUGUACUUGGGGGCUGCCCUCCAGGUGACGCUAUUCCCUCCACCACCUCCCUGGGCACAGCCCAGCAAACCUGGAAAGGCCUGGGGUCUGGAAAGAACCCUAAGGAGCCUCUGCUCUUGGGGCUCCACAUCAAGACCCUCCUCUAUUAUUUCCCCCAUAUCUCCCAUAUUGUCUGAAAAUGCGUUGUCUUCCAAAGAGACUAAUCGUUAAGGAAUAAGGAAUUCAUUUCCCCAUGAUUUAUUAAUCAAACCCAUCCGUAGCUGGGUAUGCAAAAAGCAGAAAACAGAUGUAUUAUGGUUUCCAUUAGAGUUUUUGAAACAUUUACAACAACCCAUUACAACCACCGCGAACCCUGGGGAUCCGGGGAAGACAGAUUCCAGAUCUCCACUGCGGGAGUGAACAGAGUGGCAGGAAAUGGCCCACGAUGAACGAAAGGCUGGCAGGCUCUUCCACCCUCCCCGCACCGGCCCGCUCAGGACUUUGCCCCUUCCAGGAACUCCACCCUCCCUCCGUUUCUGAGUUUCCCCACAGGGCAUCUCAAAGACUCCAGAACAAGGCCGGAGAACCCAGAGACGCCGGCGGGCCACGGGCUGCUGCCCCUGCCCCCUCCUGCCCAGCUCCACACCAGACACACCUCCUCCUCCUGAAAACACCUCUGAGGGUCUUCAGUCUCCACCAUCAAACGCAGCGGAGCCCCCACAAGACGCCAGGCUAAUGGGGGGUGGGUGUGGCUCGUGGGGAGUAAGCCUCUGUUCCCCUGGGUCAGGACAAUCUCACACCCAAGCUGCCUGGCCACAGAGAUUUUAGCAAGGAUUUCAAGCGCUAGAGAAAGGAUUUCCUCCUAUGGAGCCCCAAUUCAAAUGCAGAUUCAGGGGAGGGUGGAGCUGGAGCCAGUGCCAGUGAUUCAUCCAACCUUCUUCCCUCAGAGACCAAGGCCCUGCCUCUGCUUCUCCUGUUGCUCAGGACACUUGUCAACCGAGGCAUCUCAAGGCAGAGGAGAGGAAGAACGGGCCAGGGAGGGAGCUGGGAGAAGCCUGCCGCUAACAAGAAACUUCUGGAAAACUUAUUAUGAAAAUC
rnacentral:lncRNA from 1 species